rnacentral:rRNA from 1 species
ACGAACGCCGGCGGCGUGCUUAACCCAUGCAAGUCGAACGGAAAGGCCCUGCUUUUGUGGGGUGCUCGAGUGGCGAACGGGUGAGUAACACGUGAGUAACCUGCCCUUGACUUUGGGAUAACUUCAGGAAACUGGGGCUAAUACCGGAUAGGAGCUCCUGCUGCAUGGUGGGGGUUGGAAAGUUUCGGCGGUUGGGGAUGGACUCGCGGCUUAUCAGCUUGUUGGUGGGGUAGUGGCUUACCAAGGCUUUGACGGGUAGCCGGCCUGAGAGGGUGACCGGCCACAUUGGGACUGAGAUACGGCCCAGACUCCUACGGGAGGCAGCAGUGGGGAAUAUUGCACAAUGGGCGGAAGCCUGAUGCAGCAACGCCGCGUGCGGGAUGACGGCCUUCGGGUUGUAAACCGCUUUCGCCUGUGACGAAGCGUGAGUGACGGUAAUGGGUAAAGAAGCACCGGCUAACUACGUG